UGCUUUCUCAUUGAUAAGGCCAUCCUUCAAAGAAAUAAGUAAGCCCUGUGUCUGAUCCUUCAAACUCUCAGCCACAAGGAGAAUACUUUUCCAGGCUUCACUAUUUUCUGAGGAAUCGAAACAUGGAUCAGAUUCAUUUAGAGCAAUGUGUUCCUCAGAAAUAUUAAAGCUGAGCUUCUCUUCUUGAGGUUUUUUAGCAAU
rnacentral:misc_RNA from 1 species